rnacentral:rRNA from 1 species
GACGAACCGUGCGAACGUUAUUCGGAAUCAUUGGGCUUAAAGAGCGCGUAGGCGGCGCCGUAAGUUGGACGUGAAAUCCCAUCGGCUCAACCGUGGAAUCGCUCCCAGUACUGCGUUGCUCGAGGGAGAUAGGGGCCUGUGGAACUGCCGGUGGAGCGGUGAAAUGUGUUGAUAUCGGCGGGAACGCCAGUGGCGAAAGCGACAGGCUGGACCUUUUCUGACGCUGAGGCGCGAAAGCUAGGGGAGCAAACGGG